GACCUCUUGUGGUUCAUAAGUAUGAUGAUUGAGAUUCUGUGUCAUUGUGUGAGAUUGCGCCUCCUUCAAACCGUGCUGUGACAUCAGCCCAUUACCUGAUC
rnacentral:snoRNA from 1 species